rnacentral:rRNA from 1 species
UCUACGGGAGGCAGCAGUGGGGAAUAUUGCACAAUGGGCGAGAGCCUGAUCCAGCAAAGCCGCGUGAGGGAAGAAGUAUCUCGGUAUGGAAAGCUCUAUCAGCAGGGAAGAAAAUGACGGUACCUGAGUAAGAAGCCCCUGCUAACUACGUGCCAGCAGCCGCGGUUAUACGGGGGGGGCAACCGUUAUCCGGAUUUACUGGGGGUAUAGGGAGCGUAGGAGGGGAGACAGGUCUGAAGUGAAAGCUCGGGCCCCAUCCGCGGGACUGCCUUGGAAACUGGCGGACUGGAGUGCUGUAGAGGUAAGCGGAAUUCCUGGUGUAGCGGUGAAAUGCAUAGAUAUUAGGAAGAACACCGGUGGCGAAGGCAGCAUGCUGGCCAGUAACUGACGUUGAGGCGCGAAAGCGUGGGGAGCAAACAGGAUUAGAUACCCGUGUAGUC